rnacentral:rRNA from 1 species
ACGGGGAGCAGCAGGCGCGAAAACUUCGCACUGUGCGAAAGCACGACGAGGGAAUCCCAAGUGCUGGCUUGUAAGAGUCAGCUGUUUCUCUGUCUAAAAAAUAAAGAGAGUAAGGGCUGGGUAAGACGGGUGCCAGCCGCCGCGGUAAUACCUGCAGCUCAAGUGGUGACCGCUAUUAUUGGGCCUAAAACGUCCGUAGCCGGUUCUAUAAAUGCCUGGGUAAAUCGUACGGCUUAACCGUACGAAUUCCGGGUAGACUGUUCAACUUGGGACCGGGAGAGGCUAGAGGUACUCCUGGGGUAGAGGUGAAAUUCUGUAAUCCUAGGGGGACCACCAGUGGCGAAGGCGUCUAGCUAGAACGGGUCUGACGGUGAGGGACGAAGCUCUGGGGAGCAAACGGGAUUAGAUACCCCGGUAGUCCAGGGUGUAAACGCUGCUCGCUUGAUGUUAGUCGGGCUCCGACCCCAACUAGUGUCGGAGAGAAGUUGUUAAGCGAGCUGCCUGGGGAGUACGGCCGCAAGACUGAAAUUUAAAGGAAUUGGCGGGGGAGCAC